GGGAUGAUCACUCUCUGGGAUCAUGUGGCUUAGCUGAGGUGGAAGAGCCAGAUACAGGAUUUUUCCAGCUAAAGGAGGAAGAAGAGAAGAAGUGGGGACUGAGGAAGAGAAAGUUGGCAGCAUCAAGGAGGCUGUUGGUGGCAAGCUGUGCUUGAAGAUGUUGCUGGUGGAAGUUACAUUUUAGGGCUUGUAGUGAUAGAAGUCUUCGGCCUCCACCUUGCGAGGCUGCUACCACCCUCCACCCCAACCUUUUGCUGAACUCCUGACACAUUAGCAGUCUUUGUGUAGGUGCA
rnacentral:lncRNA from 1 species